ACAGGCUAAAAGGCAGAAGAAACACAGACCAUGAGGCUUGGCAAUGCUUGACCCUCGAAGGAAGACUCACCCGCAGCACUCACAGGAAGCCUCGAUCAUCCACAUGAUAAUCGGCACCAAGGAGAACCAGGAAAGAGCGAAGAACUAAUCAACCUCAAAGCUUCUGAAAUGGCUCCAUAAAAUAAAACAGGCAUCUCACUUCUGGCAUUGUCUUAAAGAAUUGGAAAUACAACAUGUAACAUGAGAAAAGAAGAGGAAAAGCCAGCUAUGGAGGGUUAAGGAUCUAUAGAUCUCUCUGUCUUUCCUGUCAGUCAACUAAGCAGUCACCUUCUCCAGAACCAAACGCAAAGUGACCCUCAGAUUGACUUAAGACAAGCUUGAAAUCUCAGGCUAUUCAGGUUUCUCGUGGUACAGCUUGGGGAAUAAUUGGUCAUCAAAUGAAGACUCUGCUUUGGUGUUAUAUCUGGGGAAGAUCAAGAAAAAGAAAAGAGCUACUC